AGCGAACGCUGGCGGCAGGCUUACCACAUGCAAGUCGAGCGGAUGUAGCAAUACAUCAGCGGCAGACGGGUGAGUAACACGUGGGAACGUACCUUUUGGUUCGGAACAACACAGGGAAACUUGUGCUAAUACCGGAUAAGCCCUUCCGGGGAAAGAUUUAUCGCCGAAAGAUCGGCCCGCGUCUGAUUAGCUAGUUGGUGAGGUAAUGGCUCACCAAGGCGACGAUCAGUAGCUGGUCUGAGAGGAUGAUCAGCCACAUUGGGACUGAGACACGGCCCAAACUCCUACGGGAGGCAGCAGUGGGGAAUAUUGGACAAUGGGCGCAAGCCUGAUCCAGCCAUGCCGCGUGAGUGAUGAAGGCCCUAGGGUUGUAAAGCUCUUUUGUGCGGGAAGAUAAUGACGGU
rnacentral:rRNA from 1 species